UGGUAGGGGAAGAGCUUCGAUAGGGCACUGUUGUCGGGAAACAAGAGCAUCAUAAUGCAAAUUAUUGUAAAAAAGAAAAAAAAAGAAGAAGAAGAAAAAGGAGCUCUCAGUAAAGAAGAAUCUGAUUUCAUUGAUUAAAUAGUUCUUAAGUACAAGAGAAAGAGAAAAAAUCGCAAUAAAGAAAAAGUAUAAAAUUAGAGGUUUCGAACCUCUGGAGCAGA
rnacentral:lncRNA from 1 species